rnacentral:tRNA from 1 species
GGCGACAUACUUUAUAUAGAAGAUCUAAUUUGCACUUAGAAAGAGGCAUUUAUGCCUUUUGCCA